rnacentral:lncRNA from 1 species
GCAGCACGGAAAUGUGAAUCCAGUCUCCGGGGCCACUGAAAGCUGCCCACCACUUGCCCAACUCCUUCUAAAGGGCCUGCAGUUCUAGGAACAGGACACAGUCUGAGCACUGCACGGUAGCGCUCACCCCCUCUUUCCCCUUCGCCAUUCCUGCAGCUCUUGCCUUCUUCCAUGGGCCACCAGCUCCAGCUAUCUCUGAUCCCUGUCCCCCAUGAACUCUCUGCCUUUCCUGCCCUCCCCCACCCACCACACAGAGGAAUCCAGAUGCCUUGCACACGUGACUCCUCUGAGCUGGGCAGAGGACCCUGGCCAGGCCCAGACAACAUAAAUACAUCCUGAGAGUUUACAUUGUGUGGGCCGUCCACGCUGCCUUUAUGAGCUGUAACACUCACCGCGAAGGUCUGCAGCUUCACUCCUGAAGCCAGCGAGACUACGAGCCCACCGGGAGGAACAGACAACUCCAGACGCGCCGCCCUAAGAACUGUAACACUCACCGCGAAGGUCUGCAGCUUCACCCCUAAGCCAGCGAGACCACGAACCCACCAGAAGGAAGAAACUCUGAACACAUCUGAACAUCAGAAGGAACAAACUCUGGACACGCUGUCUUUAAGAACUGUAACACUCACCGCG